CGGGGGGGGGGGCAAGCGUUGUUCGGAAUUACUGGGCGUAAAGGGCGCGUAGGCGGUCCCGCAAGUCCUCCGUGAAAUCCCACAGCUCAACUGUGGAAUUGCGAGGGAAACUGCAGGACUUGAGUUCGGGAGAGGAGAGUGGAAUUCCCAGUGUAGCGGUGAAAUGCGUAGAUAUUGGGAGGAACACCGGUGGCGAAGGCGGCUCUCUGGACCGACACUGACGCUGAGGCGCGAAAGCUAGGGGAGCAAACGGGAUUAGAUACCCCGGUAGUCCUAGCCCUAAACGAUGAGCACUUGGUGUGGCGGGUAUCGACCCCUGCCGUGCCGAAGCUAACGCAUUAAGUGCUCCGCCUGGGGAGUACGGUCGCAAGGCUG
rnacentral:rRNA from 1 species